GACGAACGCUGGCGGCGUGCCUAAUACAUGCAAGUCGAACGCUUCUUUCCUCCCGAGUGCUUGCACUCAAUUGGAAAGAGGAGUGGCGGACGGGUGAGUAACACGUGGGUAACCUACCCAUCAGAGGGGGAUAACACUCGGAAACAGGUGCUAAUACCGCAUAACAGUUUAUGCCGCAUGGCAUAAGAGUGAAAGGCGCUUUCGGGUGUCGCUGAUGGAUGGACCCGCGGUGCAUUAGCUAGUUGGUGAGGUAACGGCUCACCAAGGCCACGAUGCAUAGCCGACCUGAGAGGGUGAUCGGCCACACUGGGACUGAGACACGGCCCAGACGCCUACGAGAGGCAGCAGUAGGGAAUCUUAGGCAAUGGACGAAAGUCUGACCGAGCAACGCCGCGUGAGUGAAGAAGGUUUUCGGAUCGUAAAACUCUGUUGUUAGAGAAGAACAAGGACGUUAGUAACUGAACGUCCCCUGACGGUAUCUAACCAGAAAGCCACGGCUAACUACGUG
rnacentral:rRNA from 1 species